UUGCCACUAGUCAUACGCUCGUGUCAAAAAUUAAACCACGCACAUGUCACUAUAAAAUUUUGCACACAGAAAAUGCGAAAAGGUCACUAUAACACAUAUAAAUUUUGUGGUGUUCAAUUUUACACGGGUACCCGUGGCAAUUUUAGAGAUAAUACACGCUUUUUUGCUUGACUCUGUGGUAAGAUUGUGUUUAUUAGUACCACAACCACAUCAAAAUCUGCUUGGGUGCAUCACAAAUCUUAAUAAAAAAACGGAGUGCACACUUCACCUCUCACAGUAGCACAUAAGUUUCUGACCCAUCAGCUUCUCACACUAAAAUAUUGGCUUACCGUGGCAAAAACACGUAACAGGGAAAUAGGGUUCGAUUCUCGAGAGAGAGCCCGAGAAAAGGCUACCACAUAUAAGGAAGGCAGCAGGCGCGCAAAUUACCCAAUCUUGAUACAGGGAGGUAGUGACACGAAAUAACAAUGCCCACCUUAUUAAUUCUGGCAAUUGGAAUGAGAACAACUUAAACCCCUUAUCGAGGACCAAUUGGAGGGCAAGUCUGGUCC
rnacentral:rRNA from 1 species